rnacentral:misc_RNA from 1 species
AAGAGUUAGGGUCUCUCAGGCCCGACCUCCCAACCCUUUGUUUACUGAACCAUUGUUGCUUCGGUGGGUCCGUCUCACGACCGCCGGGGGAGGGAUCCCCCCCCCCCCUGGCCCCCCCCCGCCGAUAGCCCAACUCUUAAAAUCCUUUAUGAAUCGUGUCUUAUGUCUAAAUCAUGAUAACAAAUCAAAUUA